UACGAGAGGGGCAAGCGUUAUUCAGAAUGAUUGGGCGUAAAGAGCACGUAGACAGUUUUUCUAUGUUAUAUUUGAAAACUCAGAGCUUCACUUUGAGAUUAAAUGUAAAAAAUAAAAAACUUGAGGGAGUAAAAAGAAAAUAGAAUUCCUAGAGUAGAGGUAAAAUUUGUUGAUCUUAGGAGGAAUACCAAAAGCGAAAGCAGUUUUCUUGUACUUUCCUGACGUUGAGGUGCGAAAGCGUGGGGAUCAAAAGGG
rnacentral:rRNA from 1 species